GCGGCACCACGUGGGGCCCGGCGCGCCCGGCAGCCCAGGACCGGAGCUCGGGCUGUGCACGCGCCCUCCCGUUCGCCUCGCCACGCCGUGGGCCCCCCUUCCAGGAGGAGCGGGAAGGAAACAGGGGUCAGAGAAGGGAGCGGUGGGGCGCUCUGGGGCGCCCUGCUCCCUCUGCUGGCGCGUCUCGGCUCCCGUGCGUCCCGCCUCCGGUCCCGUCGCGCAACCGGCUCCGCAAGGAGGCGCGUCCUCAAGGGCCCCCCCAACCAGCCCGCCUUGAGCCCCGACGUCUCGCCCGCAGCCCAAAGGCGCCGGGGUCAACUGCUGCCAGCCUGCGGCCCAGGGGAGGGUCGGCUGGACCGCGUAGCCUCAAAGCCCGGGCUCCCCGCCCGCAGGGCCAGCGCGACAUGCGGGAGGCUCCAGCGCGCCUGAGUCUGCGCGCCGCGCGCGUCCAGGUGUGGAACAGGACCCGUUGCCAACUGCUCCUGCACCCCAGGACCUGAGGACUGUGGGACAUGCGCCAACUUUGCUGCUCAAGCUGGGGGUUCCCACCCAGUCACCUUUGCCAUCAGUUUGAGAAGAAAUCGGUUCCUGGUCAUCAGAGGAGGUAGCUGGGACCUCAGGAACAGAUGACCACUGUGAGAUGGAGAGAACCCCCUUCAUGUGGCCCCUGUGUGGGUCCAUGCAGCAAGAUCCUGGAGGGUGUAUCUGAGCAUUUUCUAUUCCGUGGCUCAUUCCGCAAACAUUUCUGGAGCUCCUGUGCCAUGGCAGGUGCCGGGCAGAGGGUGGCGACCCACAGGGGGCCCGCCCCUCCAGAAGCUCGUGCUGGCAAAGCAUUCUAAUAAAGCGUGAA
rnacentral:lncRNA from 1 species